rnacentral:rRNA from 1 species
GACGAACGCUGGCGGCGUGGAUUAGGCAUGCAAGUCGAACGGUAGGAUACCUUCGGGUAUCUGAGAGUGGCGAACGGGUGAGUAACACGUAGGUGAUCUACCCUCAAGAUUGGGACAACCCAGGGAAACUUGGGCUAAUACCGGAUGAAAGCAGCAGUGAUGUUGUUUGAAAGAUGGCGUAAGCUGCCGUUUGGGGAUGAGCCUGCGCUCUAUUAGUUAGUUGGCGGGGUAAAGGCCCACCAAGGCGAUGAUAGAUAGGCGGCCUUAACGGGUGGUCGCCCACACUGGGAUUGAGAUACGGCCCAGACUCCUACGGGAGGCAGCAGUCGAGAAUAGUCUACAAUGGCCGAAAGGCUGAUAGUGCGACGCCGCGUGAACGAAGAAGCCCUUCGGGGUGUAAAGUUCUUUUAUAUGUGAGCAGUGCUUUCUAUGUGAACAGCAUGGGGAGAGAGAUAUUAGCAUAUGAAUAAGCAACGGCUAACUCCGUGCC